rnacentral:lncRNA from 1 species
UUCGGUGGCGCAUGUACGUGGAGGCGCAACUUGCGCGAAUGGCGGCUACUGUUGCGAAGGGGGCGGUGCGUAGGGCUGUUGUGGCUGUGCUGAAACAAUGGUCUAAGGUUUCUGCUUAGUUGAUUAAGCUUUGGGCUUGUAUUGGGCUGUGACAUUGGGUUUUAGGUUUGAUUUUUUUGGGGCCACUGUAUUGGGUUUUAGUUCUGCAUGUGGGCUCGUUUAUUUGUUUGUGCCUGGGUAUAUUUGGGCUUGUACAGCUGCCCCUCUUUGCUCGUUGUCGUGUAACAGGAACAUAGCAAAGACUAAAAGCACAAUUGUGCCCGGUCUUACUGCUUUGACUUCUUCAAUGUUUUUCUUCUUCAGGUAGCCUUAUUCUAUCCCACUGCAUCUUCAAAGGUAUAGGAACUGGUGCUUCGAUCUAUUCAACUGCAAUGCCAGGGAGAUAGGAUUCAUACUUUGUAGCUUCUCAAAAGAACUAAAUUUGCUAUCUUUAAUCUGCUCCACUGCAACUUCAGGGAGAUAAGACCUGUAGCUUCAAUUUGUUCUGCUACAACUUAAGGAUAAAUCUGACGCGAUCUGCUCUACUGCAACUUCAGAGAGAUGAGAUCUGUGGUUUUAGUCCACUCCAUUGCAACUCCAAGGAGAUAGGACUGGUUAUUUCUGUCUGCUCCACUGCAACUUCAGGGAGAUAAGACUUGUAUCUUCGAUCUAUUUCACUGCUGCCCAGGGAGAUAGAAUUGUAAUAUUCAAUUUGUUCAACUGCAAUGUCGGGGAAACCAGAUCCGCCGUCGUAGCUUCAAUCUGUUCCACCGCACCGUCAGGGAAGUAAGAUCUGCCGUUGUGGCUUCAAUCUUUUAAAUUGCAAUGUCAGGAAUACUAGAUCCGCCGUCGUAGCUUCAAUCUAUUCUAUUGUACUGCUAAGGAAGUAAGAUCCGCCGUUGUGGUUUCAAUCUUUUUUAUUGCAAUAUCAGGGAAACCAGAUCUACCGUUGUAGCUUCAAUCUGUUCCACUGCACUGCUAAGGAAGUAAGAUCCGCCGUUGUGGCUUCAAUCUUUUUGAUUGCAAUAUCAGGGAAACCAGAUCCGCCGUCGUAGCUUCAAUCUGUUCCACUGCACUGUUAAAGAAGCAAGAUCUGCCGUUAUGGCUUCAAUCUUUUUAUUGCAAUAUCAGGGAAACCAGAUCCGCCUUCGUAGCUUCAAUCUGUUCCACUGCACUGCUAAAGAAGUAAGAUCCGCCGUUGUGGCUUCAAUCUUUUUGAUUGCAAUAUCAGGGAAACCAGAUCCGCCGUCGUAGCUUUAAUCUGUUCCACUGCACUGCUAAGGAAGUAAGAUCCGCCGUUGUGGCUUCAAUCUUUUUGAUUGCAAUAUCAGGGAAACUAGAUCCGCCGUCGUAGCUUCAAUCUGUUCUACUGCGCUGCUAAUAAAGUAAGAUCCGCCGUUGUGGCUUCAAUUUUUUGAUUGCAAUAUCAAGGAAACCAGAUCCGCCGUUGUAGCUUCAAUCUGUUCCACUGCACUGCUAAGGAAGUAAGAUCCGCCGUUGUGGCUUCAAUCUUUUUAAUUGCAAUAUCAGGGAAACCAGAUCCGCCAUCGUAGCUUUAAUCUGUUCCACUGCACUGCACUGCUAAGGAAGUAAGAUCCGCCGUUGUGGCUUCAAUAUUUUUAAUUGUAAUAUCAGGGAAACCAGAUCCACCGUCGUAGCUUCAAUCUGUUCCACUGCUGCCCAGAGAGAUAGAAUUACUGGUUCAAUGUACUCCACUGUAACCACAGGGAGGUAAAACCCGCCAUCUUCGAUCUGCUCCGCUACUGCUUAGGGAGGCAAGAUCUGUUUCUUUGAUCUACUUCAUGCCAGUACAUGAAGACAAGAUCUGUUUUCUUGGAUCUACUUCACCACCAGUAUGGGAAGACAAGAUCUUUUGUAGUCAACCUGCUCCACUGUUGCUCAGGGAGAUAAGGCUUCAUGAUUUCACUGAUCUGCUCUCUGUAGAACAUGACCUGUAUGAUUUAUUUCAUGAACCAAUUAUGCCUAAUGAUUAGGAUGUCAUGAUCAGAAUGAAUCAAAUACCCCUAACUAGACAUGUGUGAAUGACAUUUGAAUGAAAGCAAAAUGUCAUGAAAAUGAUAUUUUAACGCUUGAAUUAUUAUUACUCCAAGUUUAUUAAGGUUUAAUCGCAAAUGCGCUAUAGCGCCUCUUUGCUCGGCUGGCGUCUCUAAAGAACAUUUGACUAGAUUGCCCCCCACUGUAAACCUCUAAGUUUGAUCCAUUGGGAUGCAAAAAUUUGUACCAUCUUUCUCCCGUUGUAAACCAAGAUGUGAAAGAUUUGGCCUUUUCUCAAUUCUCUGCUAUCAUAAUUCAAGGAUACAGGAUGUGAAACUCUUUAGUCUCUUACACCAUUCCCAAGGUGUUGUACCAAAUGCUCAAGCACAAAUGAAGAAAUCUUCUCCAAGAACAACUUCUUCUUGUUAUUCGGUGAUCAUUGCUUACUUGUUCAUUGAAGCUUUGUCACCAACACGAUAUCUUGUCAUUUUGUUAGACAAUAAAAUUCAAGGGGAUAGUCUUUAAUUUAGACUCUUAUUUAUCAGGUUUCCAACCUGGUGCGUUCUAAACAAUAGUCUUGUUUAAGGUUCCUAUAUUAUUCAGAGACUUCUAGAGUAAUAUGCAAAACUUCUCUUGUGAAAUUUUUUUAGUCCAUUAAUCAUUAUUCUAAUGCAACAUGCUUGCAAAAAAGAUCAUGGAUAAGAAUUGAGUUGGUUCUGAGCAUAGCUCGAAAUGAAUAAGUUGUCAAAGAUAAUAAAGAUGGAUAACAAAGAAAUUGAUUUAGGAAUGCAUAUCUUGGAAAUGAAUGAAGUGUUCCAAGAAUAACAAAAAUAGUAUAAGGAUUAGGUGCCCCAGAUAUCGCAACAUGAACUUCUCUGUACAGACUUUCUGAAGACUAUUCUGACUUUAACAUGUGUUUAGGAGAUCUACAGUACUUUGUCGAUGCCCCCAAAAUGUCGCCUACCCUUUCCUGUUGAUUCAAGUAUAGCAAGACCAUUGCAUGCCCCGUUCUGAUCAGUAUUUGAGCUGCUCCGACAAUCUCAUGCCCCAUUUUGAUCAAUAUUUGAGCCGCCCUUUUCGGGUUUUCAACUCAAAUCCCCUUUGGUCUAAGGCGCCCUUUGCGGGUUUUCACCUUAGCCUCUCCAUUUUUACUUUUCAUUUUUCAUUUUCAUCUUUUCAUUUUUUUCACAUCACUUCUUUUUCUUUUUUCUUUUUUUUUGGGACUCAAACUGCCCUUUGCGGGUUUUUACCUUGGUCUUCUCCUUCUUUAAGCGGAGUAUAUCCUGACUGAAUCUGAGUUUACAGGACUUUACAGGUUUAUCAUCCAUCUCGCUCAAAAUCAAAGCUUCUUUGGAAAAAAAACAUUCUCUAUAAUACAAACCAAUUUGGCAUCCGUUAUACUUUUUGUAGAGUGAGGAUCUUCUUCAGCACUAGGUCGCCAUUAUGGAAUUCUCUGGGACAAACCUUUUACUAUAGGCUCGCAUCAUUCAUUUCUUGGUACAUCUGACCAUGAUGAAUAGUUUCUAGCAUUUUCCUUCAAUUAGGUUCAACUAAUCGUGUCAGGAUUGGAUCUUCAUCUUACUUCAGCUCAGCCAAAACUCGAAGAGAAAGAAUUGCAACUUCAAUAAAAAAAUCGUGAUGAACUAAAGAGAGAGGCACUACUCCGGUAGAGUUUUCACUGCAUCAUUCAUGAUAUUAAUCUUGAACAUACUGUAAAUUUCUGAUAUCGUGUUGUUGUUCAGAUUGCAAUGAUAGUGCUUAACCUGGGCAAUCCUGGUAUGACCAUGCGUAGACAUCUUUGAAUUCUUGAAGUAACUCAAUAACGUCUUACUUUGUUUCUUCGGUCAUGCAUGCUCCCUCAAGGUCACAGUCUCUAUUGUCUCAUUUGUUUCUCUUAUUGAUUUACCGCCAUCAACAAGUCAGGAGAUAAGCUACAAUUUAUGACAUCUUCAAAGUCAUGAGAUCCCUCUAAACACAUGUCUCACUCAAAAAGAGAUUCUGAGUCUGUAGCAGCGUCACUCAUGUCAUUGAUAUUUGGGGACCCAUAGUGGGUACCAAAGAAUAUACAAAAGAAUGUAUGGAUAAUAUGAAUGAAUGAAUGAAUGAAUGGUUUGGCAGAAAAAAUCCAGAAGAACGAAGAAAACGUAAAGACUGAAAGAACAUUUGCUCAAAGAUGAUUGCAAUAAUGUAUUCAUUAAAAUAAUAAUAUUCCGACGUGAGCCUAUUUCACAAAGAAAUUCUUAUUGCUUCUAGGUUGAAAGCAACAAGUGUGUUCUGAACAUUACUCUAAGUAAGCCCUAGAUGCUGCAGAGAUUUCUUUUACAAUCCGAUUAUUUAGACGCUCUCAAGUUUAUAAGGGUGGAUACCUAACAAGGUCUCUUUUCAAGUGUGUCUUCGUAUACGGCAUUGAUAUGAACGCUUUCCAACUCUUCUUCAUAUGUCGUAUUCAUGUGAUUGGGUAAUGAAUUUUCUGCACACGAUGAGUCACCAAACUUGACAACACCCAUGUUGAUGAGUCUCUCAACCAGCUUCUUGAAGGCAGUGCAAUUCUCUAUUGAAUGUCCUGUAAUUCCCGCAUGGUAGUCACAUUGUGCGUUCGCAUCAUACCAUUCGGGAUACGGAGGUUGUAGAGGCUUCACAUGAAAAGGGGAAACAACGUGUUCAUCAAAUAAGCCUUGAUAUAACUCUCUAUACGACAUCGGUAUGGGUGUGAACUGAAGCCUUCCUGUAUUUGUUCUCAUGCAAGGUUUUUGCUUUAAAGGGGCCUGAUGGUUGGUGGUCUUUGUCUUUGGCUGCCCCACAGUAGUUGGUUUUGAGUAGCCCCUAUUGUACCUACUUGCAUUAUCCACCUUAUUCCCCUUAUUCCUUGGGGCUUUUACAGUAUCUGGGCGCUCUACUCUUGCGCGUUUUGUUUCUGCUAGGUCAUUAAGGGCAACAGGACUGGUUAGAUUGCCUCUUAGAUUACAACCUAGGCCUGUCGAGUGAUUCAUCAGUGUCGAUGUACCAGUCUGAUAUUGUUGAGGCCUGAUAGUAAAGAGUGCCCCUCGUGGGUGUGCAUCUGGCUGGAUCUGAACACUUAUUGGGAUAAAUUUUGGGGGAUAGACAGGGUCUUCAUUAUUAUCCCCAAAGUGAACCGUUGGACUUUUCCCUUUUUCGAACCAUUUACCCAAUAACUGGGUUAAUUGGCUCAUCAUAUCUCUUUAGAAUUCUAAUAGCUGAUCUCUCGUAUCUUGCUGAAAUUUGGUCAAUUGUUCUUGUAUCCGCACUUGCAUUUGCUCUAAUUUCUCCAACAUUUGGUCCAUUUCUCUAGCCUUUGCUUGGGUGCCGUGAGGGUGUUGGUUUUCCAAUUUAACUGAAAUAAUUUUACUCAAUUAGGCUCUUUCAAUGGAUUUUAAUGUAUAUGAUGCUACAUAAUGCAAAUCCAUGGGAUGAAUGCAAAAAGAGACGUUGAUUCUGAUUCAAUUCCAUUUAGAAAAAUUUUCUAGAAGACAAAUUUCUUUACAUAAAGCGGAUAUAUAUACGGCUUUGCCCUCAUACUCCAAGCGAGGACAUCUUCUCCUUCUUCAUCUGGAUGCUAAGAUAAAUCUUGCGAAUUCUUCAAAAGGGGUAUCUCCUCUACCUCUUUUUUACUUGAUCCUGGUUAUAAUCCAACGUUUGCCCAUCCCCGUAAUGCUCCUCAACUUCUUUAAGGUAGUUGGAAUCUCAGAAACUCUUGAAUAAUCAGCUUGACCUUGAGGCACGAAGUAAAGUUAUGUAUUCCUCCAUCACCCUUCUCUUAUCACGUUUUCUUGGACCAUAUUCGGACAACCAUAUUGUCAUCUACUUUAUCAAGAAACCCAUUUUCUUAUGACAAGCUCUCUAUUUAGUAAUCGAACUCGAAUCAACAUCUCUUUUCUAAUAUGCAAAUGCAAUGCAAUAAUGAUGUCAUGCAAUCAAAACAAAAUAAAACCAAGUUAGUAUCCCACCAAAAAGAUAUAAUACAAUACAAACAUGAAAUAGCCAGAACAUUUAUUCAGGAAUCCUCUAAGGUUUGGUAUAGCUCUACCUAGGACAAGUUCUUAAAGCUCAUUAUAUGAGGUUUAGUUUCUAGAGUAAGGGCACCCGAACCAGCAGAUUCCUCGAUCCUCACCCAUUAUAGGCUCAUAUAGAUCGAGUUCAGUUCAGGGGGAUACAUUUCCCUAUGGCUAAACGGAGAUGACAAUCUCACGAAGACAUAGGUAUGGAUGUAUCCCGGAAGCGAUCCACUACCCUGCACGGAGGUGAAAACCUCACGAAGGACUAGUUUCUUGCUCCCACUUAAAGGGUAAAACUGACCAUGUAAAAUGCCAAUGCAAAGUUGCCAAAAUACCAUGAUAAAACAUCAAUGAGUGCGAAGGGUACUCAUGAAAUUUUUUAAAAACUUUUGAUUUUUGACACAAAGACAAAUAUAAUUAGUUUAUGGCUCGACUCUCUAAUCUCCCCAGUGGAGUCGCCAAGCUGUCGAAACCGUUUUUUGAAAACAAAAAUUUAGUUGUCGACUUUAAAAACAAAAACUGGAGUCGUCACCGGUCUUUUAUUAAGGUGUGAUCGGCUCACCUUAAAAAUUAUUUUGGUCUACGAAUUUUCGAGAAAACGAGUUCGGGAGUCAAUUACGCACGAGGAAGGGUUAGCACCCUCGUAUCGCCCAAAAUCGGUACCAAAUUGAUUAUUUGAUGUCUUAGUGUCGAAAGUUUUAAAGAUUUUAAAAUCAACUCAAAUGAUGAAAUUUGAAAAAGAUAGUCAAUCGUUCAAGUCAUGUAAAGAAAUCGAGUCCCAAUACGUUAGGGUACAAUUCCUCAUAAUCCCCGAACUUUGAAUAUCACUUUAUUUUAUGCGAAAAUCUUCAUUUUGAGAAAGUAACAUGCCACACCCAAUACGUUAGGACACGACAAGUUAAGUUCCCAAAAAUGAUUUUUAUACUCAUGCAUUUUGAAUAAAGAAUAUUCUCGGCUAUUUAAGAUUGACAAAGAAAAUCAGAACCCAAUACGUUAGGGCUCAAUUUCCCUCGAAAAUCCCAAACUUCGACUAUUGCUUUUAUUCAAAAAAAAAAAAACUUUUGAAUCAAGAAAAUAACUUUAAUGUAUGGUUAAAACCAAAUUAUAUUUUCAAAAAGGGUAUGUUAAAAAAAUUAAUGUACAAUAUAUAUAUAAUAAUAGAAUAUGUAAAUAAAAAACAUUUAAAAUGAUUUUUUAAACGUGUACAUAAAUAUAUUAAAACGUGUACAUGUUAUACGACGUAUAUGUAUAUAUAUAAAGUAUAAAGUCUAUAAAAAUUAAGAAAGUAAAAUAAAAAAUAUAAAAAAGUAUGUAUGUAUAAAAUAUAAUGUAUGUGAAGGUUAAAAAUAAAAAAAAUAAAAAAAAACAAAACAUAUAAAAAAAACGCACGAAUAAAUAUAUGCGUGCAUGUUUUAAAGCUUAUGAACAUAUAUAUUUUAUAUAAAGAAAUAUGUAUAUAUACUAUAUAAAAAUGCGUAUAUAAGUUUAGAAAUAAUUAUAAAAAAUGAUAGUAAAUAAUAUGAUAAUAAUAAAUAAUGGUACAAUGAUAAUAGCAUAAAAAAAUAAUAAUAAAAAUAACUGAAAAAAAUGGAUUCAAUUGAACUAAAACGGAAAAAAGUGGGGCAAAUUCAGAAAAUUUUAGAAACAAAUUAAAGCAAUAAAACAAAUCAAGAGGAUCAAAAGCGAAAAUAUCCCAUUGGGAUAAAACAUGCGGGUUUGAUCGGGUUUUUGAGCCGGGUCACACGGGCUAUUGGGUCACCAAUAUGGCACCGUUUACAAGCCUGCAAAUACACCACCAAAACCCCCAAAAUUAGCAUUUAACCUAUCCUAAAACAGAUCAGCAAAAAGCCUAAACUGCUCAAUGCUGCCGCCUUCAUGCUUUCCCCACCGUACAAUGACACCGCCGAUCGAAAGGUAAGCAACUCCUCCUUCUUCCUUUAUUAUUAUUUUUUAAAAAGAACAAAAACAUAAAAUAGAAAUAGAAAAAGAAAGAAGAAGUCUCAAAAAAUAAACAAAAUCUUCGGGAUUCCUUGAAUCUUGUUUUCGUAUUUCUUAAUAUUUUUCAAUACAAUCUCCUUUUUUCUCCCUUUUUUCCUGUAUCUUCCCCCCGUUUACAUGAUUUAAAUCGGCUUUUAAAUAGCCGAAAAUAACAAUGAAAAUAAUAUUAAAAAAAAUAGAAAAUCCCCUCUUUUUCGUUAUUUUACUGUAGUCGCUGGCUGUUUGUUGCUGUAGGUUCGGUGGCGCAUGUACGUGGAGGCGCAACUUGCGCGAAUGGCGGCUACUGUUGCGAAGGGGGCGGUGCGUAGGGCUGUUGUGGCUGUGCUGAAACAAUGGUCUAAGGUUUCUGCUUAGUUGAUUAAGCUUUGGGCUUGUAUUGGGCUGUGACAUUGGGUUUUAGGUUUGAUUUUUUUUGGGCCUCUGUAUUGGGUUUUAGUUCUGCAUGUGGGCUCGUUUAUUUGUUUGUGCCCGGGCAUAUUUGGGCUUGUACAAGGUUAAUUGGGUUUAGUGGUUAUGUUAAAACGGUUUGGGCCACGUUGGCCCAAGUAUUUAGACUGUGGACAUU